AAGACUAUAGACCUGCGGAGUACCUGCGGAGGGAUCAUCACUAAGGAUGUUAUAUCCGAGGUAUCUGGAGAUUAUGAUAUUAGAGUUGGUAGGGUAUUCUACCAGCACAUACAUAACCACUUAAUAAAACAAUCUAAUAUAAAACAAAUAAAAAACAACUUUCAGCAACGGAUCUCU
rnacentral:misc_RNA from 1 species